ACUUUUUGUGGAUAUUUGUUUUUGAGGUUUUGCUGAAGUCUACAUACAUCUUAGUCUAUAGAAAAUGUGUUCUUUAUCAAACAUUUAAUUUCGUAGUUAACCUGUUCUCACAAAAUUAACAAAUAUUGGUAUCCACAAAUGAUAAUGUAUCCACAGUAGAGAAAAACAGAGCAAAAAAAUAAAAUAAAGAAUAGCCAAAAAUAAAGCAGAAAAAAAACAAAGAAUAAAGAAAAAUAGACCAAAAAAUAAAGAAUAGAGAACAAUUUGAUGCUAAAAUAUAAAGAAUACAGAAAUACUGCUUAAAAAAUUAAAAAAUAUAGAAAUGAAAGACCCCCAUUGUUCCCCGAACUAGACUCUCAUAGUCACAGUACAAGUAAAGUGGAUUUACAUGAUAG
rnacentral:lncRNA from 1 species